UGGUGGGUAGUUUGACUGGGGCGGUCUCCUCCUAAAGAGUAACGGAGGAGCACGAAGGUUGGCUAAUCCUGGUCGGACAUCAGGAGGUUAGUGCAAUGGCAUAAGCCAGCUUGACUGCGAGCGUGACGGCGCGAGCAGGUGCGAAAGCAGGUCAUAGUGAUCCGGUGGUUCUGAAUGGAAGGGCCAUCGCUCAACGGAUAAAAGGUACUCCGGGGAUAACAGGCUGAUACCGCCCAAGAGUUCAUAUCGACGGCGGUGUUUGGCACCUCGAUGUCGGCUCAUCACAUCCUGGGGCUGAAGUAGGUCCCAAGGGUAUGGCUGUUCGCCAUUUAAAGUGGUACGCGAGCUGGGUUUAGAACGUCGUGAGACAGUUCGGUCCCUAUCUGCCGUGGGCGCUGGAGAACUGAGGGGGGCUGCUCCUAGUACGAGAGGACCGGAGUGGACGCAUCACUGGUGUUCGGGUUGUCAUGCCAAUGGCACUGCCCGGUAGCUAAAUGCGGAAGAGAUAAGUGCUGAAAGCAUCUAAGCACGAAACUUGCCCCGAGAUGAGUUCUCCCUGAGACUUUAGGUCUCCUGAAGGAACGUUGAAGACGACGACGUUGAUAGGCCGGGUGUGU
rnacentral:rRNA from 1 species